CCCUUAGAUGUUCUGGGCCGCACGCGCGCUACACUGAUGCAUUCAACGAGUUUCUUCCUGGUCCGAGAGGAAUGGGUAACCUUUUGAAAGUGCAUCGUGAUAGGGAUAGACUAUUGCAAUUAUUGGUCUUCAACGAGGAAUUCCUAGUAGACGUAGUUCAUCAGACUGCAUCGAUUACGUCCCUGCCCUUUGUACACACCGCCCGUCGCUCCCACCGAUUGAAUGCUCAGGUGAGCCAUUCGGACUUUCAUCAUGCUGGUUUCCAGUUUUGAUGAAGGAAAGUCUUGCGAACCUUAUCAUUUAGAGGAAGGAGAAGUCGUAACA
rnacentral:rRNA from 1 species